rnacentral:lncRNA from 10 species
GCACGACACAGCCCUGCUUUGCGGGUGGGAGUGAAGAGAGCCGCUCACUAAACAUUAACUAGCACCCCACGGAGCUGGAGUCCAGGCAAAAUCCAAAGCGACUGGAAGGGCAGUUUGUUAACUCAUUCAGCCGCCUCCUCGCCCCACAGCUAACGAAUUCUUGGGCGCCAGCCUGGACAGAAAGGGGAGGAGACAAGCCUGCUGUGAUGAUACUUUAACGAUGAUACAGGAAAAUGACAGGAUAGGUACCAUGUCAUAGGAAGAAUACUUGGAAGACCUGGGCUCAUUUUAUUGAGGCAUCCGUCCACAAAUGCCUAUGGAGCAUUCAGGCUUUCCAGAAAUAUUCAUGGAAUACUUUCUGUGUAUAAAGUGGGCAUUCGAUGGUGAGUAAGGUGGCACACGGUCUACCACCUGAGUUUACAUUCAGGGGAGGAGAAUGUUAAAACAAUAAGCAGAUAUAUACUUUUUUGUGUUUUUGGUUUAUUAUUUGUUUAUUUAUUUAUUUAUUUAUUUAUUUUUGAGAUGGAGUUUAGCUCUUGUCGCCAGGCUGGAGUGCAGUGGCGCAAUCUCAGUUCACUGCAACCUCCACCUCCCAGGUUCAAGCGAUUCUCCUGCCUCAGCCUCCUGAGUACCUGGGAUUACAGGCAAGUACCACUACACCCGGCUUAUUUUUUGUGUUUUUAGUAGAGAAGGGUUUCGCCAUGUUGGGCAGGCUGGUCUCGAACUCCUGACCUCAGGUGAUCUGCCCACCUCGACCUCCCAAAGUGCUGGGAUUACAGGCGUGAGCCACCGCGCCCGGCCAGCAUAUAUACUUUUAAAACAAGAGCUUAAAAAUUUGGGGAUGGAAAUAAACAAGAGAAUGAGAUAGAAAAGGCCGGAAGAGAUAGGAAAUGCUGUAGGAACACUUAAGGAUUGUGGCUAAAAAAGCUGUGAUAUGAAGUCAGGGCGUCAGUUCACUUGAGGGAGGAACUUUUUGUGUGUAACUCCCAGCCCUGCCACUUGCUGCCAUGUGCCUACCAUGAUGGGUUGUGUGGGUGAACUUAGGUAGCACAUGGCAUUGGCGACACCCAGCCACACAGAUCUAGGAGCUGCCAUUCACGUCCUCAUCGCUGCAAAUGCAGUGUGCACCCUGUGCAGGACACCUUGCAGCCCAGGAUGACACAAAGUGGAUGCUAGAUAAACAUUAGCGGCAAUCAGUGACACUGUAUGAAACUCCCCAUCAUGGUGGAAACUUGUACUGAGAAAAGAUGGCCACUUCUCAGGGUCAUUGUAGCAAACAGCAAAGGUAGAGGCUUGAAUGUGAUGUCCUUGGAGUGGCCAUCCCAUGAUAACUUAUAAAUCUUUUAUUUUAUCACUGUUAUUACCCCUUCUACCAUAUUCCCUAUUUCUAACUCAUUGUCCCUUCUUUCUUUCCUGUUAAAACCUUUCUGCCCUUGAGCAAAGCAAAGGUAAGUUCUCACUUGUUUUCCCACUUAGUUCUAUGUCAACCAAGACCUGUUUGUUUCUGCCAGUAAGUUACUUCCUAGGGCCUGUGAAAUAACGUGGACUUUGAGUGUGGCUCUUUUGACAGAGCAAUAGCACCACCUGCUACCACCUACUAGAAAUGUCGUCUUGUAGAACAAAGAAAUACGCACGCCCUGCUGUUCUGCAAUCAGGCUCUGACAGAAGCUUUCAGGUGUGGUGCUUACAAGAUCAGACUCAUUGACUCACUCACUUCUCCCUGCUCCGUCACUACACUCCCAGGACAAGAUAUUUUGCUUAACAAAUAAUGACUACAUCCAACCAGAUAAGGAUACAAACAAGCACAUUCUUCCACUAUCAGUCCUCACCAGAGGACUCUGUGGCCAUAAAAAGAGUAAGGCUUCAGCAGCUCAACACAACUGACGCAGUCCUGCUAUCAGUUGCGAUAAGCACCUGGCAUCUGCCUACAAAGGCUCUGCCCACAUCAAAGACUCUUCCUUGCGAGACUGAGGGACUGCCCAGGCCAAGCCAGGAGAUUCUUUUUGUCUUCGUUGUUCUCCCUGCAAUGGUUCAUUAACUCUUUUUUCUCUCCCUUUUCUCUUGAUGUUAAAUGUUACUUUGUGAGCUGUGGAAUGUUUAACAUGUAUAUAGUGACCACGUAUUCUAUUACAUAUGGUUUUCAGUAUUAACUGACUUGUGGAGUGGCUUGAGCCUGUGUGCCCGCUAUUCUCACUACCGAGUGAAUGGGAAGUUCUGAGGAGAACCUCUUUCUUGGGAACUCCAUUGAGCUCAUGGUUUUUGUGAUUGAAACAGUAUCAAUAAAAGUCUGACCUUGUGGCAAGA